rnacentral:rRNA from 1 species
AUUGAACGCUAGCGGCAUGCUUUACACAUGCAAGUCGAACGGCAGCGCGGGCUUCGGCCUGGCGGCGAGUGGCGAACGGGUGAGUAAUGCAUCGGAACGUGCCCAGUAGUGGGGGAUAGCCCGGCGAAAGCCGGAUUAAUACCGCAUACGACCUGAGGGUGAAAGCGGGGGACCGAAAGGCCUCGCGCUAUUGGAGCGGCCGAUGUCGGAUUAGCUAGUUGGUGGGGUAAAGGCUUACCAAGGCGACGAUCCGUAGCUGGUCUGAGAGGACGACCAGCCACACGGGAACUGAGACACGGCCCAGACUCCUACGGGAGGCAGCAGUGGGGAAUUUUGGACAAUGGGGGCAACCCUGAUCCAGCCAUGCCGCGUGCGGGAAGAAGGCCUUCGGGUUGUAAACCGCUUUUGUUCGGGAAGAAAUCCUCUGGGCUAAUACCCCGGGGGGAUGACGGUACCGGAAGAAUAAGCACCGGCUAACUACGUG